CUACGGGGGGCAGCAGUGGGGCAUAUUGGACAAUGGGGGGAACCCUGAUCCAGCCAUGCCGCGUGUGUGAAGAAGGCCCUCGGGUUGUAAAGCACUUUCAGUGAGGAAGAACGCCUGGUGGUUAAUACCCAUCAGGAAAGACAUCACUCACAGAAGAAGCACCGGCUAACUCCGUGCCAGCAGCCGCGGUAAUACGGAGGGUGCGAGCGUUAAUCGGAAUUACUGGGCGUAAAGCGCGCGUAGGUGGCUUGAUAAGCCGGUUGUGAAAGCCCCGGGCUCAACCUGGGAACGGCAUCCGGAACUGUCAAGCUAGAGUGCAGGAGAGGAAGGUAGAAUUCCCGGUGUAGCGGUGAAAUGCGUAGAGAUCGGGAGGAAUACCAGUGGCGAAGGCGGCCUUCUGGACUGACACUGACACUGAGGUGCGAAAGCGUGGGUAGCAAACAGGAUUAGAUACCCUAGUAGUC
rnacentral:rRNA from 1 species